GCUUAGUUAUUAACGAUCAGACGUGCUGUCAGAUGCACAGUAUCAUCAGCGUCUCUGUCCCUGUUUGGUCAAAGGAGAGAACUCGGCGAAGAAAUCAUUGGGGCAUGCACUAAACAUCUACCUUUUCAACUAGAGGUCCGGUUACAAAGGCUCGUCGUCUGCAACUGUGAGAGAAGGCCCCCCACUUAGUGUAUUUGACAAGCUGAGUUGGACACUCAGUAUGACAGGGUGUCAGUUUGUCAAAUACCCCAAGUGAGGGGUCACUUGUCUGCUGAGCAUCUCCCACCAGACUGACUUCAAAGAAGAUCACUUCAUAAACCUUCAAGUGGCUUUCACUGUUACCCCGUUAGGCUUUCUCUGGCAAAACAUUUGAUUGUGUGAAAAUGUACUGUGAUGGUGUACAUGAUCCUGCACUGUCACUAAUGUCUCAUGUAUUUGUGUAAGUUUGUAUGAUGACACUUGGUACACUGUGUAACAAAUGUGUGUGUCCCUGUAUUAAAUACUGUACUGGGUAAA